AAGAACAAAAUUGGAGAACUCAUCCUACCUGAUCUCAAGUCUUGCUGUUGACCUAUGGUAAUAAGACAGUGGACAGUGGGACACAAGGAGGAGGUGUGGUAUUCUCUAGUGAGCAUGAAGCAGCUCUAGGUGUUAAUUUCUGCAACUGCAUUUCGCCACUGACGACCGUUCUUCUCUUCCUUUGGGACUGUAAGAGGGAGAGGAUGCAGUCUGAGCGGU